rnacentral:misc_RNA from 1 species
AACGUUUGGUUGAUCCAGCCAUUACACCGAGCCUCUUGAACGGUUGUGUAUGCUGUUUUGUGCGAUUGUAUUGAACACACAAAACUCGUGUUUUCUGUAUUGUUUAAAAUAAAAUAAUGUAUGGUGUGACAUCUGGAACACAUCAACAGUUUGUUGGUGACCUAAGUCCUCCGUAUGACGGCAGCGAAAUGGAUCUUUUUCCUGAUUUGUCUUUUCUGGAUUCCGUCCAAACUGACUUUUUGAACAACGGCUUCGACGACGAGCUUGCCUCAGCGCCGUACCCGAUCGACAACGCAAUGGACUUCAACGACCAAUGCCAGGCCCAGGCUGAGCUUGUUCCGGAUGUGAAACAAGGUAUUGUUAGCCCAAACAGUAACCCUACUUUAGUGCCUAAAUCAUCGAAAGGAAAAUCUGUAAUCAAGGUGAUGGUUACCUCAUCUAAAGAUGAAAGUGAACUGGUAAAUUUUUUGAUGGGAAAAGCUCAAAAUUGUGGACCAACACCAACGUUAAAAAUCAUAAAGAAAGCGGCAGUGUCUGCGCAACCGGAUUUGAAUCAUGACGUCACUAACACGCCCCACCAAGAAAUGAAAAUUGAUUCCACAAGGCCUGUUAAAGAAAAUGUAAAUGUUAGGCCUAGGCCGGUUAAGUCACAAAAUUUAACCAAGUCUAAAGAAAUGUCUUUGAUAGAACAAUUAGAAAAGGACCUUCAAGUUUGUGAUCCUAUGAAUCGAAAUGCAAUUGCAGCUCGCUUGAAUAGGUUGCGUAAGAAAAACCAUGUCGAAGGUCUCGAAGAAAGUGUUAACAAUUUGAAGACUGAAAAUGCUAAACUGCUUGAAAACAACACUUUUUUGAAUGCUAGGGUUUCUUCACUUGAGACUGAAGUGAGUUAUUUGAAAGGUAUUCUAGCUAAUCAAAGCUCUUUGUCAUUGUUACUAUCAAAUAUCCAAGCAACUAAUCUGAAUUUCCACACAUCAAUGGAGACCAUUGUUGACAAAUCCGAGGACAUUGACUCAAUCACACAAUCAAAGGCUGAAGAAGAAAUUGAUGUAGUGGGCGUAUCAUGUGACCAAAUUAAAGUUCCACUAAAAAGAAAAAGGACACAAACCGAUGAGAGUGAAAACUUGUAUUCUGAACAGAUAGAUAACAAAAUUAUUAAGAAAGAAGGGAAAACUGUACCUAGGAGGAGUAAUGAAGGUGAAAGGAGGAAGUCGGACAGAUUAAUUGAACAGAAAACUGAAUUUUCAAAGGAUAUUCCUCCAACUGCAGGUGUCUGCCUUCAUGUAUCUGGGAAGAAUGUGUCUCUUGAAUUCUGUUAUCAUUGUAGUAGGAGAGCACAGACGACUAUUCAGGUGGAUACGUCGGCUAGCAGUCGAAGGCUGGUCAAAGAUGAAAUCUGACUGAAAGACAAUGUGUUUUUUAAUGAUUUCUGACACUGCUGUUCAAGCUUUUCAACAUCCUGUUAAUUGUACAGUCAACCUGGUAUUCUAUUUAUUCAAAUGGUCGGUAUCAGUCACAUUUUUGUGUGGGUCUGUGCUCUUUCCAUCAUGAAAAACGAGGAAAGCAGAACUACUUCAAUAGAAACUUCAAACACCGGACUUGAUUCAAUUGGCGAAAGCAAAUGAUAUCUGCUGCAAAAUUUCAAAAUUUUUGAAGCGAUUGAGGACUACCUUUAUUCAAAAAGAACUUAAAUUAUUUUAAAUUGCAGUAAAAAAACUGCUUUAAAUUAUACCGCUGCUUUUAAACUCGCAAUGUAUUGCUCUAAAUUUGUUUUUGAAUAAGGCAUUUAUGGACAUUUUUACAUUAGUUUAUUGAAUGUGUUAAAAUAUUUUAAAAAUUCACUAAAAUUGAUAAAUCUAAAGGAAUUAUGAUAAAUUGCAAAGAUAUUUAACAAAAAUAUUUGUUUCUGUAAAUAAUUUUAAUGUAUUUGCACUGAAAUUGUCAAAAUUUAUACAAAAAAGUUAGUGCUGUAUGAUUUUGCUUUUAAUUAUAUAAUUAGUCUACUUGAUUCUUAAAUCUUACUGUAUAUUCGGUAGUCUAUGACAGUUGCGUAUUUUACUCGCAUUAGAAAGUAUAUUCUAAAAAAAUUAUACUAAAUUUGAAAUGUAAAUAAAUUGAUUUCAUUUUAGUGAAAUUUAAUGUUAGAAAUGUCUAUACAAAAAAUGUAAUUAGAAAAAUAUCUAAAUAUUUACAGAAAAUGUUAUUGCUGAAAUGAUUGGACUGAUUACAUUACCAAUCUAUUUAAGAUACAGAUUAUUUUAUAACAUUUGACUAGAUAGUAUUAAAAUUACAUUCUGGAAGUGGAAUUAAAAACAGUCAAAUAUCAUAAUAUUUUACACAAAAAAAGUUGUGUGUGCACUUUCACUAAAUUUUUCAAAUUCGAGUGUCUUUGUUUUUGCUAACAAGAAGCAGCAUACUGUAUUUAAUUUUACAGUAAACAAAUCUGACAUAACAAAUAUAUACAGAUUUUUUCAAGCAGUGUGAUUGUCUUUGAGAAUGAAUGAUUUUAUUUGAUGAAAAUCUUUGGCAAACAAACAAACAAAAUACAUUUAUUUAGACCCUAAUGGUUGUUUGGUUUUAAAGUUCUCUCCAGAAUAAGUACUACCUGACCCUUGCUGAUAUUGGAUGUAUAGGACACAUGUGAAAUCUGCUUUCAAAGCCCUUUGUUUUCUCCACAGAAUAAUUGCAGACUGUUUGCAGUAUAUUCAGUAGCCUGCGCAAAUGCUUGGCCUACCACUUUUUAAGGAGCCAUGACUGAGGCAGUUAGCCUUCGUUGCACCUUGUUGAAGGCUAGCCUGUAAUACUAGUAAGUCUAGAAAAAUUAUGGUAACAUGUAAGUACUGUACUGUAAUGUACAAAAGUAACAUGAUCAUGCAUAGCAGAAAAUAUGAAUAAAGAAAAGGUGGCAUAGGUUUGUAUACUAUAUACAGUUAUAUUACAGUUUAGUUAUGUUCCAGGUUUAGGCUGUUGUCCACUAAGCAAAUUCAUUCGCACAAGACAAAAAGUUUCCCAGUAAAGAAAAUCUUGUAAUCUUGGCGUAUUUUCAACUACAUUAGCAAAAAAGUAUUUUCAAAAACAUUGCUGUGUUGCUAAUUGCAUGCAGUGGUAAUUCAUAGAUUGAUCGUUUCAAUUCUGUGUUCAUUGGCGCAAUUAAUUCUUUUCCCAAAAUGUGGUUAGAUGCAUAUUAUUUUGCUUCACAAAAAGGAACUGUUCGAAUUCGUCAAAGCGAAACACUACAAGCGAAAACGCAAACAAUGUGAAGAAGUAAGAAAUAAUAAGAAUUGAACUGCACAUGUCUACUGUCAAACUCUUGAUUUGCACGAAUAAAUUUGACUAGUAGAAAACAGGCGUUAGUCAAGAUAAUUAAAAGUAUUGUUUAUGUUUAGAGUAAUCUUAACUUUUUUUACCAUUUCUUUAUUCAGUUUUUUAAUUUGAUAAGGAAAAUGAUAAGUGUAUAUAAACAGUGAAUUACCUUUCACAUUAUUUUCAAGUUUCAAAUACUGUAGUAGUUUGGGAAGGGUGUCCAGAUAUGUAUUCUUUCAAAUGUACUUUAAAUUUAGAUUAAAAGUACUUUACAGUAGAUAGUAUAUAAAAAUAUUUCUUAUCAUGCUUAAUACACAGUAAAACCGUGAAGUGUUGCAAAAUUGAGAGGGAAACUGAAAGGUUAGCAAUUAAGAGAACUGUUUGUUCACUUAUAUAUAAAUGUAAAUGGCCCUAAAUAUUGUUGCGUGUUCUGCAUUGCUGUUACGAUAAUUGCAAAGUGUCUGGAUUGGUUUACUUUGAAUAAAUGAAACAACAUUUGAAAGAAAUUGA